rnacentral:misc_RNA from 1 species
GAACGCAACUUGCGCCCUCUGGUAUUCCGGAGGGCAUGCCUGUUUGAGUGUCGUGAACACCUCAACCCUCUAAUGUUUUUUCAAAAGGAGGGUGGACUUGAGCUAUCCCAACAACCUUCACCGGUAGGCGGGCGGCUUGAAAUGCAGGUGCAGCUGGACUUUUAUCUGAGCUAAAAGCAUAUCUAUUUAGUCCUCGUCAAACAGGAUUAUUACUAUUGCUGCAGCUAACAUAAAGGAUAAUUGUCCUCAUUGCUGACUGAUGCAGGAUUUUACGACACUUUAUGUGUUGUUCAACUCGAUCUCAAAUCAAGUAAGACUACCCGCUGAACUUAAG